CUUUGCUAUAGUCAUCAUGUAUAUGAGGAAUCUUAUCACAGCUACCUUUGCCUGCUGCUGAUCUCCAUUUGCACCGAAUAGGUUUAAAAACUCUGAAUUAAUGCUGCAGCUGGUUGUGGGAACAGUUAAUAGGAGAUAAAACGAAGGCAGAGAAGAGAAAAGGGACUCUUUAGGCCUCACUGUACAUAUACAUGUAUGAGGAAAGGAUAGUCAUUAUACCUGAAAACGUCCUGUCACAUUGAUGCCCAAUAAUGGUUGUUUUCUUUUCUUAUGAGAAGUUAAGAAAAUCUCCUGUAAAGCAUUAAGGAUAUUACCUUUGUACUAGAGUGUGUGAGCAGGUAUUCAGCUUUAAGCAUCAGCAUACUUUUCUCUUCAGUGAGAAUAUAUGAAAGAAGUAUUUUGAUGCUGUGUUGUGCAUUUCUGCAUUUCUGUUGGUUCAUACCAACAACCAUCACAAAAUAAACUUCUAGUAUUAUGGUAUAUAUCUCUAGAGAUAUCAAUUAAUCUGUA